GGAAUUUGUCAUUUCAUUAAUAAAUCAUGCUGAUAAAGAUGCAAACUUAGCAAUUGUGCCUAAAAAGUGACAGCUUUGACAAGGAAAUCUAUCCAUAUAUAACAGUUACUGGUACUGUCUGAAUGCAGUGAAAGGAUCCAGAUGAACAGAUGAAGAGAAUAAUUACAAUGUACAUCAAUUACUUGGAUGAAGAGAAUCUGCAACAUGGGGAAAGAAUGUUCCUGUAGAAAAGUCAAAGAAUGUAUACAUGUGAGAUUCUGAAGUAGCCGUACAUGAUGAGUAGGAAUUUGAAGUGAAUUAUGGGAAAAGUGAAAUGGUAAAAAAGAAACUGCUAGUGCUACUGUGCAGACUACCAUCAAUCAACAUGAUCAACAAAAUCAAGUAAUCCUUUUGAAGAUGGAGUACUACACAAGCACAAUGUUUUAAAGAAAGAAAAGUCAAUGGAAUGAAAGCCAAAGAAAAGGUGAAAUGAAUUGUCACUCAUUAUAUUUUAAAUUUAAUGUGGACAUGGUCAUUAUUUUAGUUAUGUCAUAACCUUCUUAUCAAUUUUAAGCGGUGCAGACAGAUGCAUUUCUUAUUGCUUUGAAUAGAAUAAAUUAUCAAAAAAGUUUGUAUAUGUUUUUUGAUAUUGAAUUAAAAUUAA